AAUAUGAUUUGUAUUGCACCGAACGCAAUCAUGUAAGGAUUUCCAUUCACAUGACAUGGAUCUUUAUCCCCAUUACUUUGCUGGCAACUUGUCCGUUGGAUUGCUCUGUUUUUUUUUUCAGUCAUAAUAUAUAGUUAGCACAAAACAAACAAUGAAGCAGACAGAAAAAUCUGAAACCGUUAGAAUCUUGGACAAGUAACUGUAUCAGAUUCGUUAAUACUAGAAUUAAAAAUAAUGAAACACUGACUUUGAAAAUGCAUUAUUGAGCCGGACU